rnacentral:misc_RNA from 1 species
UUCUAUUUUUUUUUUUUUUUUUGACUUGGUGGUCUGGGAAUUCAAGCAAGAAAAUUCCUGCCCUUGUUGGUAUUCCAGGGAAUAUAAGAGAAGAAGAAACUAAAGAAAGUCAUUGACAAGAACUUGACUUCUCAAUAGUUUCAUUUCUACUGGUUUUAGUUUUUAUUUUUUUAUCUGUACAAUUAAUUUCUGCAAUACCCAAUUGCCCAUUUUGAAUUCAAAAACAUGAUUUAUUUUUUAUGUUGAUUUCCUGGUUUCUGAACGUCACAAGUGUUUCGUUCCUCAUUCUCAAAUUUAUUUGACAAAUCCUAAUUCGUGUAGCAUAGAGGUCUUCUGUGUUUUUUUUCCAAUUUUUUGUUAUCUUUUACUUGCAUACUUGUAUGCAUAGACAUAGAUUUUUUUUUUUGGUUGUUCUUUCUUUUUGUUAAAAAUCUGCAGGAUAAUAGCUUCAUAAUAAGGUAGGUGUGUGUUAUGGAUCAUAGGUUCAAUCUCAACAGUCCUUCAUAAAAAGUUCUCAAAGUAGAUUAAUGGCUAAUUUUUCUGAGCCAUCAUCAUCUUUGAGCUUUACUUCAUCUUCUCAUGUAUCAAAUGGCUCAAUUAGUCAAAAUAUAUCCACCUUCUCAAUCUCUGAGGCAAGGCCUAGCCUUGAGGUGAUUAGUUUAAACAAGCUUAGCUCCAAUUUGGAGCAGCUCUUGAUUGAUUCCAGUUGUGAUUAUAGUGAUGCUGAAAUUAUUGUUGAGGGAAUCUCUGUUGGCAUUCAUCGGUGUAUUCUGGCUGCUAGAAGCAGGUUUUUCAAUGAGUUAUUUAAGCAAGAAAAGGGAUCUUUAGGCAAGGAAGGGAAACCAAAGUAUUGCAUGAGCGAUCUAUUACCUUAUGGAAAGGUUGGAUAUGAAGCGUUGCUGGUUUUCUUGAACUACUUGUAUACUGGAAAACUUAAGCCAUCUCCAAUGGAGGUAUCAACUUGUGUUGAUAAUUUAUGUGCUCAUGAUGCCUGUGGGCCUGCAAUUAAUUUUGCAGUGGAAUUGUUGUAUGCCUCGUCCAUAUUUCAAGUACCAGAGCUGGUUUCACUUUUCCAGAGACGCCUUGUUAACUUUGUUGAUAAGGCUUAUGUGGAGGAUGUAAUCCCUAUACUUCUGGUUGCCUACCACUGUCAAUUGAAUCAACUUGUUGCUCAAUGUGUGGAUAGAAUAGCACGGUCGGAUCUUGAUAACAUCUCAAUAGAGAAGGAGCUUCCCUAUGAGCUUUCAAAGACAAUUGAACAUAGUCGUGAAGAGCCUAUCUCUGAUGAUGAACAGGUGUCUGAGGCUGUGGAACCCUUGCAUGAAAAGGCUAUUAGGAAAAUACACAAGGCAUUAGACUGGGAGGAUAUUGAACUGGUAGAACUUCUCUUGUGGGAAUCUAAUGUAACACUGGACGAUGCCAAUUCUCUUCAUUAUGCUGUUGCAUACUGUGACGCAAAGACUGCCACAGAGCUUCUUAAUCUUGGAAUUGCUGAUGUUAACCUUAGAAAUUCAAGAGGCUACACUGUACUGCAUGUUGCUGCAAUGCGUAAAGAGCCUAAGAUUAUUGUAUCUCUCUUGACUAAGGGAGCUCGUCCGUCAGAUCUUACUCUGGAUGGUAGAAAAGCACUUCAAAUAUCGAAGCGACUUACUAGGGCUUCAGAUUACUAUAGCUAUACUGAGGAAGGAAAAGCUUCUCCCAAGGAACGAUUAUGCAUAGAGGUAUUGGAACAAGCAGAAAGAAGAGAUCCAUUGCUUGGAGAGGCUUCUCUUUCUCUUGCUAUGGCUGGUGAUGACCUGCGAAUGAAAUUAUUGUACCUUGAAAAUAGAGUUGGGCUGGCAAAACUUUUAUUCCCCAUGGAAGCGAAAGUUGCGAUGGAUAUUGCUCAAGUGGAUGGCACUAGUGAAUUUCCAUUAACUAGCGCCAAGGUGAAGAAUUUGGCUGGUGCUCAGAGGACAACAGUGGAUUUGAAUGAGGCACCUUUCAGAAUUCAAGAGGAGCAUCUGAGUAGGAUGAGAGCGCUCUCUAAAACUGGUAAAUGAUGCUCUGCACAUAUAGAUAUAUCUGCAUGAGAAGAUUUUCUGCAAAUGAUAACACUGAGAGUUUUCUUUUCAAUUUACUUUAAAAGGACCCCAUCUGUAUAAAUUUAGUUGGCUAAACACUGUUCAGAUAUGGGUAAAAACUGUUAGAAAAUAGUGGAAAUGAUGUUUAACAACAUUUCUAUGGGAAUUCCAAAUCCACAAAACCAUGAUUUCAAGUUCAUCUUCAGUCUUCAGCGAGAAAUACUUCCAUUUAACAAGUCUAGGGUCCCAUCCCAGGGGAUUGGGAACAUCCCUUUUAAGAUUGAUGUAUUGACAUCAAAUCUCUAGAACUAUGCAAGGGAAUUCUUUGGUUUGGAAAAGUAGGACAAAUUAUGAAAUUGAUCAUGUUAUUUGACAUUGAACAGUGGAACUUGGGAAAAGGUUUUUCCCUAAGUGCUCAGAAGUACUAAACAGGAUCAUGGAUGCUGAUGACUUAUCGCAGCUCGCCUAUUUGGGGAAUGACACUCCAGAGGAACGACUCCAAAAGAAAAGAAGAUACAUGGAACUCCAGGAAGUUCUAACUAAGGCAUUUACUGAGGAUAAACAAGAGUUUGAUAGGUCUACCAGAUCAUCUUCUGCAUCGUCAAAAUCAGUAGUGACUGUGAGGUCUAAUGGCAAGCUUCCUGAUAGGGGUGGUAGUACUGGUAAGGCUUAAUUUUUUCUUCCUUUUGUAUGAUAUUUAUGCAACUUUUUUGUUAUAUGUGUACGUAUAUAUUUUAAGAUGUUUUUUUUGCUUUGUAUAAUAAAUAAAUGGUUGGCUAUAGAGGAGGGAAGGGAAUAAGACCAUGUUUGGUACGACGUAAUGUACUAAAUCAAAAGUGUAAUGUAAUUAUAUUACACAUUUGAUUAUUUUUGGUAACACAAAAAAAAUUAAUGUAAUGGAAUGAUAAUUUAAUUAUAUUUUAUAAUAUAAUCU